rnacentral:rRNA from 1 species
GACGAACGCUGGCGGCGUGCUUAACACAUGCAAGUCGAACGGAAAGGCCCUGCUUUUGCGGGGUGCUCGAGUGGCGAACGGGUGAGUAACACGUGAGUAACCUGCCCUUGACUUUGGGAUAACUUCAGGAAACUGGGGCUAAUACCGGAUAGGAGCUCCUGCUGCAUGGUGGGGGUUGGAAAGUUUCGGCGGUUGGGGAUGGACUCGCGGCUUAUCAGCUUGUUGGUGGGGUAGUGGCUUACCAAGGCUUUGACGGGUAGCCGGCCUGAGAGGGUGACCGGCCACCUUGGGACUGAGAGACGGCCCAGACUCCUACGGGAGGCAGCAGUGGGGAAUAUUGCACAAUGGGCGGAAGCCUGAUGCAGCAACGCCGCGUGCGGGAUGACGGCCUUCGGGUUGUAAACCGCUUUCGCCUGUGACGAAGCGUGAGUGACGGUAAUGGGUAAAGAAGCACCGGCUAACUACGUG